rnacentral:rRNA from 1 species
UACGAAGGGGGCUAGCGUUGUUCGGAUUUACUGGGCGUAAAGCGCACGUAGGCGGAUCGUUAAGUCGGGGGUGAAAUCCUGGAGCUCAACUCCAGAACUGCCUUCGAUACUGGCGAUCUCGAGUCCAGAAGAGGUGAGUGGAACUCCUAGUGUAGAGGUGGAAUUCGUAGAUAUUAGGAAGAACACCAGUGGCGAAGGCGACUCACUGGUCCGGUACUGACGCUGAGGUGCGAAAGCAUGGGGAGCGAAUAGG